ACUCAAAGGAAUUGACGGGGGCCCGCACAAGCAGCGGAGCGUGUGGUUUAAUUCGAGGCUACACGAAGAACCUUACCUGGGUUUGACAUCCUAGUGGUAGUGAACGGAAACGGGAACGACCUUCGGGAGCUAGGACAGGUGCUGCAUGGCUGUCGUCAGCUCGUGUCGUGAGAUGUUCGGUUAAGUCCGAAAACGAGCGCAACCCUCGGGGCUAGUUACAUGUGUCUAGUCCGACUGCCCGUGAGAAACGGGAGGAAGGUGGGGACGACGUCAAGUCAGCAUGGCCUUUAUAUCCAGGGCUACACACACGCUACAAUGGGUGGUACAAAGGGUAGCCAAACCGCGAGGUGGAGCCAAUCCCCCAAAGCCAUUCGUAGUUCGGAUUGCAGGCUGCAACUCGCCUGCAUGAAGUCGGAGUUGCUAGUAACCGCAGGUCAGCUAUACUGCGGUGAAUACGUUCCCGGGCCUUGUACACACCGCCCGU
rnacentral:rRNA from 1 species